AACGAACGCUGGCGGCAUGCCUAACACAUGCAAGUCGAACGAGACCUUCGGGUCUAGUGGCGCACGGGUGCGUAACGCGUGGGAACCUGCCCUUAGGUUCGGAAUAACUCCCCGAAAGGGGUGCUAAUACCGGAUAAUGUCUUCGGACCAAAGAUUUAUCGCCUUUGGAUGGGCCCGCGUUGGAUUAGCUAGUUGGUAGGGUAAAAGCCUACCAAGGCGACGAUCCAUAGCUGGUCUGAGAGGAUGAUCAGCCACACUGGGACUGAGACACGGCCCAGACUCCUACGGGAGGCAGCAGUGGGGAAUAUUGGACAAUGGGGGGAAGCCUGAUCCAGCAAUGCCGCGUGAGUGAUGAAGGCCUUAGGGUUGUAAAGCUCUUUUACCCGGGAUGAUAAUGACAGUACCGGGAGAAUAAGCUCCGGCUAACUCCGUG
rnacentral:rRNA from 1 species